rnacentral:tRNA from 1 species
ACUAAAUUAGUAUAUUAGUAUAUUUGACUUCCAAUCAAAAGGUUCUGUUAAGAAUUUAGUA